ACGGGCGGAGUGUACAAGGCCCGGGAACGUAUUCACCGUGGCAUUCUGAUCCACGAUUACUAGCGAUUCCGACUUCAUGGAGUCGAGUUGCAGACUCCAAUCCGGACUACGACGCACUUUAUGAGGUCCGCUUGCUCUCGCGAGGUCGCUUCUCUUUGUAUGCGCCAUUGUAGCACGUGUGUAACCCUGGUCCGUAAGGGGCAUGAUGACUUGACGUCAUCCCCAACUUCCUCCAAUUUAUCACUGGGAAGUCUCCUUUUGAGUUUCCGGGCCGGGA
rnacentral:rRNA from 1 species